rnacentral:rRNA from 1 species
UACGUAGGGCGCAAGCGUUGUUCGGAAUUACUGGGCGUAAAGGGCGCGUAGGCGGCAUGGCAAGUCAGGAGUGAAAGGCCUGGGCUCAACCGAGGAACUGCUUUUGAUACUGCCAAGCUAGAGUGCGGAAGGGGCAACUGGAAUUCCCAGUGUAGCGGUGAAAUGCGUAGAUAUUGGGAAGAACACCUGAGGCGAAGGCGGGUUGCUGGGCCGACACUGACGCUGAGGCGCGAAAGCCAGGGGAGCAAACGGG